GACGAGCCACACGAACGUUAUUCGGAAUUACUGGGCUUAAAGGGUGCGUAGGCGGUGCGGAAAGUUGGGUGUGAAAUCCCUCGGCUCAACCGAGGAACUGCGCUCAAAACUACCGUACUUGAGGAAGAUAGAGGUGAGCGGAACUUACGGUGGAGCGGUGAAAUUCGUAGAUAUUGGGAAGAACACCAGUGGCGAAGGCGGCUCACUGGCUCGUAACUGACGCUCAGGCGCGACAGCGUGGGGAUCAAACAGG
rnacentral:rRNA from 1 species